rnacentral:rRNA from 1 species
UACGGAGGGUGCAAGCGUUAUCCGGAUUUACUGGGUUUAAAGGGUGCGUAGGUGGGUAGGAAAGUCAGUGGUGAAAUCUUCGGGCUUAACCCGGAAACUGCCAUUGAUACUAUUUAUCUUGAAUACUCUGGAGGUAAGCGGAAUAUGUCAUGUAGCGGUGAAAUGCUUAGAUAAUGACAUAGAACACCAAUUGCGAAAGGCAGCUUACUACAUAGUUAUUGACACUAGGC